rnacentral:rRNA from 1 species
UACGUAGGUGGCAAGCGUUGUUCGGAAUUACUGGGCGUAAAGGGCUCGUAGGCGGCCAACUAAGUCAAACGUGAAAUCCCUCGGCUUAACCGGGGAACUGCGCUUGAUACUGGAUGGCUUGAGAUUGGGAGAGGGAUGCGGAAUUCCAGGUGUAGCGGUGAAAUGCGUAGAUAUCUGGAGGAACACCGGUGGCGAAGGCGGCAUCCUGGACCAACACUGACGCUGAGGAGCGAAAGCCAGGGGAGCAAACGGG